ACAGAGGGUGCAAGCGUUAAUCGGAGUUACUGGGCGUAAAGGGCGCGUAGGCUGGUAUUUAAGUCAAUUGUGAAAUCCCUGGGCUUAACCUAGGAAUUGCAGUCGAAACUGAAUAUCUUGAGUAUGGUAGAGGAAAGUGGAAUUCUCGGUGUAGUGGUGAAAUGCGUAGAUAUUAGGAAGAACACCGGUGGCGAAGGCGACUUUCUGGACUGAUACUGACGCUGAGGCGCGAAAGCGUGGGGAGCAAACAG
rnacentral:rRNA from 1 species